AUUGAACGCUGGCGGCAUGCCUUACACAUGCAAGUCGAACGGUAACAGGUCUUCGGAUGCUGACGAGUGACGAACGGGUGAGUAAUGCAUCGGAACGUGCCCGAGAGUGGGGGAUAACGAGGCGAAAGCUUUGCUAAUACCGCAUACGAUCUCAGGAUGAAAGCAGGGGACCGCAAGGCCUUGCGCUCACGGAGCGGCCGAUGGCAGAUUAGGUAGUUGGUGGGAUAAAAGCUUACCAAGCCGACGAUCUGUAGCUGGUCUGAGAGGACGACCAGCCACACUGGGACUGAGACACGGCCCAGACGCCUACGGGAGGCAGCAGUGGGGAAUUUUGGACAAUGGGCGCAAGCCUGAUCCAGCCAUGCCGCGUGCAGGAUGAAGGCCUUCGGGUUGUAAACUGCUUUUGUACGGAACGAAAAGACUCUGGUUAAUACCUGGGGUCCAUGACGGUACCGUAAGAAUAAGCACCGGCUAACUACGUGCCAGCCGCCGCGGUAAGAC
rnacentral:rRNA from 1 species